GUGGGGAAUAUUGGACAAUGGGCGAAAGCCUGAUCCAGCCAUGCCGCGUGUGUGAAGAAGGUCUUCGGAUUGUAAAGCACUUUAAGUUGGGAGGAAGGGUAGUAACCUAAUACGUUGCUACUUUGACGUUACCGACAGAAUAAGCACCGGCUAACUUCGUGCCAGCAGCCGCGGUAAUACGAAGGGUGCAAGCGUUAAUCGGAAUUACUGGGCGUAAAGCGCGCGUAGGUGGUUCAGUAAGUUGGAAGUGAAAUCCCCGGGCUCAACCUGGGAACUGCCUCCAAAACUGCAUGACUAGAGUACGGUAGAGGGUAGUGGAAUUUCCUGUGUAGCGGUGAAAUGCGUAGAUAUAGGAAGGAACACCAGUGGCGAAGGCGACUACCUGGACUGAUACUGACACUGAGGUGCGAAAGCGUGGGGAGCAAACAGGAUUAGAUACCCUUGUAGUCC
rnacentral:rRNA from 1 species